rnacentral:rRNA from 1 species
UACGUAGGGUGCGAGCGUUAAUCGGAAUUACUGGGCGUAAAGCGUGCGCAGGCGGUUUUGUAAGCCGGAUGUGAAAUCCCCGGGCUUAACCUGGGAAUGGCAUUCGGGACUGCAAGGCUGGAGUGCGGCAGAGGAGACUGGAAUUCCCGGUGUAGCGGUGAAAUGCGUAGAUAUCGUAAGGAAGACCAGUGGCGAAGGCGGGUCUCUGGACAGUUCCUGACGCUGAGGCACGAAGGCCAGGGGAGCAAACGGG